GCCGUGGGACACAGGCAUGGGGGAGGCGGCUCCCUUUCCACAUCCCCCCGUUCAUCUCGUUUAUUCCUCCCCACAGGUAGCUGCCUCCACCCUGAAAAGUCAGAAGAGAAGUGUACCACCUCCCCUGCUCUUGUCAGCUGCUGGCUCUCAGAA